rnacentral:misc_RNA from 1 species
CGCAGCCGCGGUAAUUCCAGCUCCAAUAGCGUAUAUUAAAGUUGUUGCAGUUAAAAAGCUCGUAGUUGAAUUUUGGAUUCUUCCAAUUGGUCCAUCUUUUAGAUGAGUACUGGUUGUGUGGGGUCUAUCCGCCUGGUGAUACGUAAUGUCCUUUAUUGGAUGUUUCGGGUAGUCAGGACCUUUACCUUGAAAAAAUUAGAGUGUUUAAAGCAGGCUUAUGCCGGAAUACAUUAGCAUGGAAUAAUAGAAUAGGACGAAGUUGUUUUAUUUUGUUGGUUUCUAGGACAACCGUAAUGAUUAAUAGGGAUAGUUGGGGGCAUUAGUAUUCAAUUGUCAGAGGUGAAAUUCUUGGAUUUAUUGAAGACUAACUACUGCGAAAGCAUUUGCCAAGGAUGUUUUCAUUAAUCAAGAACGAAAGUUAGGGGAUCGAAGACGAUCAGAUACCGUCGUAGUCUUAACCAUAAACUAUGCCGACUAGGGAUCGGGCGAUGUUGUUUCCAUGACUCGCUCGGCACCUUAU